CGGACGGGUGAGUAACGCGUGGAUACCUGCCCUCGGGUUCGGGAUAGCUGCUGGAAACGGCAGGUAAUACCGAAUGAUAUCUCCGGAUCAAAGGUGUGAUUCCGCCCGGGGAUGGGUCCGCGUCCUAUUAGCUAGUUGGUGAGGUAACGGCUCACCAAGGCAACGAUGGGUAGUGGGUGUGAGAGCACGACCCACCUCACUGGGACUGAGACACUGCCCAGACACCUACGGGUGGCUGCAGUCGAGGAUCUUCGGCAAUGGGCGCAAGCCUGACCGAGCGACGCCGCGUGCGGGAUGAAGGCCUUCGGGUUGUAAACCGCUUUCGGAGGGGAUGAAAUGCGUGGGGGUUCUCCCCCAUGUUUGACAUAGCCUCUAAAGAAGUACGGGCUAAGUUCGUGCCAGCAGCCGCGGUAAGACGAACCGUACGAACGUUAUUCGGAAUCACUGGGCUUAAAGGGUGCGUAGGCGGCGCUGAAAGUUGGGUGUGAAAUCCCUCGGCUUAACCGAGGAAUUGCGCCCAAAACUGCAGUGCUUGAGGGAGAUAGAGGUGAGUGGAACUUAGGGUGGAGCGGUGAAAUGCGUUGAUAUCCUAAGGAACACCAGUGGCGAAAGCGACUCACUGGGUCUUCUCUGACGCUGUGGCACGAAAGGUAGGGUAGCGAAAGGGAUAGAGACCCC
rnacentral:rRNA from 1 species